rnacentral:tRNA from 1 species
GCCCUGGUGGCACAGUGGUUAAAUGUCUGUACUGCAAAUCACAAAGUUGCAAGUUCAAUACUUGCCAGGACC